UACGAAGGGGGCUAGCGUUGUUCGGAUUUACUGGGCGUAAAGCGCACGUAGGCGGCUCGAUCAGUCAGGGGUGAAAUCCCAGAGCUCAACUCUGGAACUGCCUUUGAUACGGUCGAUCUGGAGUAUGGAAGAGGUGAGUGGAAUUCCGAGUGUAGAGGUGAAAUUCGUAGAUGUCAAGCAGAACACCUGCGGCGAAGGCGGCCUUCUGGACGAUGACUGACGCUGAGACGCGAAAGCGUGGGGAGCAAACAGG
rnacentral:rRNA from 1 species